rnacentral:rRNA from 1 species
UACGUAGGGUGCGAGCGUUAAUCGGAAUUACUGGGCGUAAAGCGCGCGCAGGCGGCUAUCCAAGUCAGUGGUGAAAGGCCCGGAGCUCAACUCCGGAACUGCCAUUGAAACUGUUUAGCUUGAGGAUGAGAGAGGUGAGUGGAAUUCCCAGUGUAGAGGUGAAAUUCGUAGAUAUUGGGAAGAACACCGGUGGCGAAGGCGGCUCACUGGCUCGUAACUGACGCUCAUGCACGACAGCGUGGGGAUCAAACAGG